AACCUACUAAGCUGUUAUAAACUUAACUUGAACAAUCAAACGAACCAGGCAGGCAUUUAGCCAGGCCCCGAAGGAACUGGACACAGAAAAGACCAGGCUGGAUGGGGAUGAAAGGAAAGAAGCAUGGGGAAGCUCUGAAGCCAGGACGCUUCCUGGGAAGAUGACACUCACCAGGUGACAUCACUCACCAGCUGGUGUCCAGGGGCUGGAAUGGAUGCCCGAGUUAUAGGACCUGGGAACCAAGGAAGAGAGCAGGAAAGAGCGCACACCAAGAACUCCCACGGCCGCUCAGACCAGUGUCUCCCAUAAUGUCCGCAUUCCAGCCACAUCCUGCACGUGCUGAACCUCAGCCAGGAAGCCACCUUCUCCUCCCACACUCUGCUAAGGGGACUCGGACUUGCCCCUGCGCUUGGCCCAAAUGCCACCUCCCAGAGAGGCCCCCCUGCCCGUACCUACCCCCCAUGCAUUCCACUGUUCUCUGGGGUUUUUUUCUUCAGAGCACUCACUGCAAUAUUCGUGUUUUGGCAGACACAGGGAUUAAAUAUCUGAAGAGAAGGUUCUAUUAAAGAGAUGUUUCAAGAGCCUGGGAAGUCGGAAUAUUUCAUAAGCCAACUCGUAGUGACAAGACCUGCCCCCUGGAAGUGGGAGGGGAGCACUUCCCAAUCAAGCUUCAUUUUCCAAGGGUGGAGAGUAGAAAGAAACGGGGAAGAAGCAUAUUCCUAAAGACGCUAACAUCGUCAGAUACUAGAAAAGCCACUGCAUGUAUCUUGUGUGUCAGCUUUAGAGCUGCCUUCACGUAACUGACGGAUGGGGUAUUUUGUCGCCUAACGUUGAAUACUGCUAAUUAGAGAGGCAAAGAUUGCCUUUUUCUUGAGUUCAUUUUAAAUAAAAGGCUCCAUUGAAACAAUGUCUCGGUAAAAAUUUAGGUACUAGCAAUUGAUGGGUAAAACUCUGUACCUAAGAUUUGUAUUAUAUCGGUUCCAAAAUAAUUAGGUUGGCAAACCUGUUAGGAACACCUCUCCCCUAUGAACACUGUCGUCUGCUGGUUUUCAAAGGAUGGCUACAUCUUACGUGAAAUGUAUUUCCAAGUUUUGCCGAGUAUUAAGAGGCUUCCAGAGAAGAAAGACAGAGCUGAUUUUUUACCACCAAAGUUCAAUGGAGGUUGAACUCUAAAAUGGAAGUCAACUAAAGACGGUAAAGUAUAUUCCAGCAGAAAUAUGCUGGGUCCUGGGAUGGGUACAUUUUGCAGGUAAUGUGAAGCUAGUGUUUGGGGAACAGAAGCCUCAGACACAAGGGGUGAAGGAUCUGCGGGGCCCCCCUAGGCUUGGCACCCGGCCGCCCCCUGCAUUCCUUUGGGAUGGCUGGGUUCAUCAGAAUCUGUAACCUCCACUGAUUCAUACCGAACAUUCAGUAAUAACCGCAGAGGCCAUUGCUGGUGUCCCCACAUUCCCAUUCCCAUCCUAAAGUAAAGCAUCCCAUUGGGAGAAUGAUAAGGAUCUAACCAGUGAGCCUUGCUCACAAGUUAGCUGACUCUGGGCUCAUUCAGUGUCAUGUAUGGUCUUCUCCCCACUGGAGAACCCGGAGAUGGUGCGCUUUCUCAAGUCCACAGUUUGGAGGAAAGUAAAUUGAGAUGAAUCAUGGUGCAAUGAGAUAGUUAAAAUGUCAUGCUCCAUAAGUUUGAAUGCAUCCUUCAAGUUCCGAGCAGUAAAAUACAACUGAACGCUGAAACAAGGAAAACAAAGAAAAAGCAGACAACUAACAAUACAAAGCCCGCUUCUUUGACAAGGAUGAUUCCUGGGGGGAACCAAACAGCACCAUCCAGGAGCCGCCCCUGAGCACACACAGGCACACGCACGCAUCCACGUUCCCUCCUGGGUUACCUUCCUUUCACUGUUUUACUGUUUUACCUAUUAUGGCUGAGGGAUGACACAUCAGAAUUUCAAGAUUUCAGAGAUGAUUAACCACUAGCUUUAUUUCUGUUUACAAAAGUAGCUGAGGGGAGCUCCCUAGACUGGCUGGGCAGAUUACAGAUCGUCCACGGUAAAUGUGGGAGCUCACGACAAUGUGUGGGGUCAGAAAAGGCUGAAGGGGAGAGAUGGAAGGGAGGCUGGGCUGGGCGGAUGUGGGAGCCGCGGAAUUGCUUCCUGAUUCCUCCUUACAGAGCCCCAUUCAUUUCGGGUAUCCAGUGACUCUGUAACUCUUCAAGUUAAAACACCCUAAGAGAAACCCAAGAAUGACCUAUUUCCCGGAAGCGGCCAAGCUAAGUUAAUAGUCUAACCCUGGGAACAGCUUUUCUCCUUUAUGUGAAACCCCAGUUACUGGGACAACCAAGAUCUUGAGGGAAUUUCCCUUCAAUAUCUGCGGUUCUUAACGUUUUUGUGGAUCAAAAACCCUUUUAAGAAUAUAGCAAAAACUAUGAUCCCUCUCUGGAGGAAAAUACUCACACCCCCAAUUUUGCACAUAUUUAGGGAUUCAUAGCAUCCCUGAAGUUGCCACAGGUAAGAACCCGUGUUCUAAAUAGUUUUUUUUUAAACAGGUGAGCAUUGAUAGAAUGCGCCCUUCCUUCUACAGUUCAAUAAAGAAAAACAUGGAGCUUAGAGAUGAGCCAGCCAUUGUAACCUUCAGACUCCAAAUAAUACUGUUCUUAAUAAUAAUAAUAUUCAAGUGUCACGUUAGUGGUCUCUGUGGACAUCUCUAUUCUUCAUGAUAAUCUUUAUUUUUAUUUAAUGUUUGGAGAUGUUAUAAAAAGUGACUACUGUUUCAAAAUGUGACCUCUGUGAGGUUUAAAACCUACUGAAUCAGAUGAGAUAUGAAAGUGUUCAAUAUAAUGUAUGGCUUAAAGCUGUGUUUUUAAAACUUUAAUAGGAAAUGUCUGACUCUUAGAUCACUGUUUCUAAAGCCUGGCAGACAGAAACAUGUCUUUUAAAAAGGCCUAAUUUAUAUACCAAACAGAGACCCAGCAGGUGGAAAUAGUGCCUUUCCCCUUCGUUUCAUGCAAACCCGAACUCUUAAUUUGCCUUGAAUAAACCUCAGCUCCAGCAAUGUUUUAACAAUUAUAACUCAUCUCAUUUUUCUUCCCCAAAGAUUACCGGGUCCUGUGCUGGGCGGUGGGUUAUUGGGAUAAACAUCACGGUCUUUGUCGGCAGGAGGCUUACAGUCUAACUGGACGACAGACGUGGUGCACACCCAGUGGCCACUGCGGUGGCUUAGACAGCAUCCAUUCCCUUCUCCCCCACUCCUGGAAGACUCCAUUUUUAUCCAGGUGUCCACCCCUCCCUCUACAUAAGCUCCGUGAUUAGGGGAAACUGACUCAUAGUGGGCUCAACCCAUCAUGGGACUCCUACACACACCCUUGUCUACAAUUCAUUCAAGUAUCUUAGCUUCAGUGAAUUAUUGUUCUGCAUUCCCUUGUAAUGCCAAGUGGUCCAGGGACGGGCAUGUGACCUAAAUUGGCCUCAUCGUACCAAAGGGAAGGACGGUCAGGGGAACGUUCUGUCUCUUCCCUCCAGCUGAAGUGCCCCAAUUGCUGUUAGCAACUGUCGUAGCCACCAUUGGGGAGUUAGUCUAAGGACAAAGCUGGGACAUCUGGGAAGGCAGAUCCGAGAAAACUAGAGAGAACUGAAGGAGAAACCCUGAUCGAACCACAUCUGAAGCCCCUAUACCUCCAAAUGUCCUUGAUGUGGAUAGAUUUUCUAUGUCCUUUGUUUAUUCUCAGUUGAGUAGGGAUUUAUGUCCUGUGCAACCUUAAAGUUUCCUGACUGUCACUGUGUCAUUAUAGCCCAGAGUCACAGUCCCCCUUGAGUGCUGUGAGAAUCUUCCGAGGAGCACAGAGGGUGGACACACUCACGCUGGUGGACCCUCUCCAAAGGAGUGGUGCUUGAGCUGAGUUUUGACGGUUGAAUAGGAGUUAGCUGGGCAGAUAUGGAAGGGAAGCGGGCUUUAAAGAGAAGAACAAGGGAACAGAGGUGUGUCUGUGCCUCCCAGGGUGCUGGGAGGGUUGUAUGCAGACAGCAAAGAGAGCCUGGGGGGAUGUUUUGACUGAAGUGACAGAGGAUGUGGGCGAGGGCCAGAUCAUGAAGGGUCCUGCGUCCAUGUGAAUGUGGACUUUCUACUGAAGGUAAUUGAGAGCCAUGGAAGGAUGAUAAGCUCUGAAGUGUCAUGAUCGAUUCUGCAUUUUAGACACAUUGCUGGUGUCCAGUGUGGAUGGAGGGUUGGAGGGGACAGCUCUGAAGAUGAGGAGCUCAGUUCAAGAGUCUCCAUUUUGCUGAAACGCUCAGGCAUCUCUUCUGACAAGGCAACAUGGGUCCUCUCUGGGUGGUGCAGGCAUGGCAUCAGUGAAGACUGGCAAGGAGCCAUCACUGUGGAUCAAAAUCGAUGCUGAGAUCCAGGUCAGGGAACAUUUGCUGAGUGUGCAUGACUCAGAACACCACACAGCAUCAUGGAAAGAGCCCUCACUCGCUGUGUGACUUUAAGCUAGUUACUUAACCUGUCUGAGGUUCCACUUCCUUGUCUGUAAAAUGAGGGCACUGUACCUGCCUUGCACAGUUCAGGUGAGUUAAGCAUCACUUGUAAGCAUUUAGAUCCUAGAGACGAGGUGAAUGACUCGCUGGCUGGCUGAGUGGCUGGAUGACAGGAGUGAAUCAUUUUCCCUACUUACACUAAGUGUGUGGCUCCAGAUUUGAAAAUGAAAGGCCCAGGACUUGGGGAGACGUUUCCACCGACGCACAAGUUGACCCCACUGCCUUCUGAGCCUGCUUCACCCCGGUGUGCACCCCCGCCACUGCCCUGCAUAGGAGGUUCCUCAGACUUUGUGCUGCUCCCUGCACGUCUUCAGGACGUCCUUUCUGCUUGGAUGCCCGUCUUCAGCUCCCAUCCUCCAACAGGCAGAUCCUCAGUCCUUCAAGCCCGGUCCAAACAUUCCUGGCUCUGGGGAACUUCAGCGCCUGGCCCCGCCCAGCAGUACGAAAGCACAGAAGCUCCUCUGCCUCGUCCGUCUUUCCGUGAAGCUCUGACUGCACCGCCACAUCGUCUUGCUGCCACCCAGAUCGCGCGCUCUUCGGGGCUGGGGGCUGAGCCCUAGUCCCGUUUGACUUUGCGUCUCUAGUGCCGACCCGGUCCAGAGCAAGAGCACAAAGCGUUUUUGUGAAUGAAUGAUAUUUCUCUCAAAUAUAUGAAUUGUGCAAUUUCGUGGAUAGCAUUUAUAUCUGGGGCAGUCAAGAUAGCUUCGGAACAGCAGGCCAACUCCAGAGGCCAC
rnacentral:lncRNA from 1 species